UCGACCAUGGAGGUCUAAAAUUCAAGGUAAUUUCUUGAUUAUUUGAGCUUCAUCUUGAUGAAUUGAGUUCCUUGCUUGGUACCCUCCUUGACCCAUGUUUCUAUGUAUUUUAUCUUUGAAAGUGAUGUCUUGGGAACAUUCGGUUAUAGGGGGAGUUUUGAAUGUGAAAGCUGUACUAGAAAUGGAAUUUGGAGUGUCUAAUGGACUCCAUGUUGCUAAAAUUUACAUGAAUAGAAAUUUCUAAGCUUAAAUUGUAAGAAUUUGAGUUGUGUGGUUUAAAUUGUCAAAGAUGCAUUUGGCAAUUGAUUAUAAUUUGUUAAAGGGUGUAAAGUAUUGAUAGUUCUAAAUGGUACAUAGUUAAAUGAAGAUGGAAGCUUGAUAAAAUUUUAUUUAGAAUGAAAGUAGGAGAAAUGUGUAUUCGGCCAUGUUGUGAUGAGUUGAAUUUGAAUGGUUGAUGCUUUAGUUUAUAAAUGGUCAUUAGAUGAGUUUUAAACUUGUUAAAGUUUGAUAAUUUGGGGGUGUUAAAUUGGGGAAAACGUGUAAUAAAAAUGGGUUGAUAAUGUUUGUUUGUUAAUUGAUGUUUGCACCAUUGUCGAAUGUGCUUAACAUUAAGGCAUGAUUUAGUUAAAUGCAAACUAAUGGAAGAAUGGAAUUUAGCUUUGCCGUACAUGUGUUAAAAUGAUGGAAUUAGUAGGAAAUGGGUAUGAGCUUGUCAAAUUUUUGCAAUUAGGACCUUGUGAACUAAAUGAUAUUCAGCAAUGGUACUUUUUACAUGAGGAAUUCUGUGUUAAUUGUAUUAAAUAAGGUUGAGGUAGUUGUCGAAUGUGUUUAUAAUUAAGUAAGGUUAAUAAUAGAGCAAUGAGUGGCUAGUAGAAUCUCGUUAGUCUUCUUGUUAUAUUUGGCCAUGAGUUUGUAUAAUUGGUUUGUAAUAGAUUAAAUUUGUUUAUUCAAGCUCAAGAGCUUAGGGAGUCUAAUUCGGAUAAGAGAAAAAACUACCUAACCGAAUAGUCGAUCUGUAAUCGUUCGACAACUUCCGAGGUAAGUUCUUAAGUAUUUGAGUUUGAUUCCUUUUUAAGUUUUAAGUUUUUAAAUGGGAUGAAUAUGAAUUAAGUAUAUACGUUAAGGUCAAUGACUUUUCUAAAUGAUGGCAUAUAUGAUAUUAUGUUUUAAAUAUGUGAAUGAGAACUUUACAGAGUAAAUUUGUAUAAAUCUGCUUGGGACAGCAGCAGUAGUGUGUUUUGGAAAAAUUACCAUAAAUUGUGGGAAUUGAGUUAAAGGCUGAAUAGAUUAUGUAAUUAAAGCUUGAUGCGUCUAGUUUCGUAUAAAAGAAAUCGUGUAAGUAAAGGGGUUGCCGAUAAUGAGAUUUUUUUUAAAGUUGUGUGAGACAGAGUCAGAAUGGCUCCGAAAUCCCCUGUCCAGUAUUUGGAAAAUCAUUAUAAAUCGUACAAAAAUGAUUAUAAGAUAAGAUUUAUAUGCUUAGACUCCUUAAUGAGUCUAGUUUCAAAAAAAUAAACGAAAACAUAUUUUGAAUUCUGUACAAUGAGAAAUUCAAUUCUUAGUGAAGAGUAGUCAGAAUAGUCAAGCAGUAAAAUAGGGGAAACUUUAAGAAAAAUCUGGUAUUGAUUAGCCAAACCAAAAAUUUUGAAAAUUUUGUGGAUAGAAGAUAUACGAGUCUAUUUUCAUGAAAAAUUAACGACACAUCAUUUGGAGUUUCGUAGCUCCAGUUACAAAUAAUUUAACGACUGUUGCUCAGGAAAACAACUUGUAUAGAAUAUGUGAUUAUGUUGUAAACAUUGAUAAAACUUGUUUUAGUUGCUCAUAAGCUAUUGAUUAAACCCAUACGUGAAUUCUAAUUUGUGAUAUUAUAAAAUGAUAUAUGAGUGUUAGAUGGAUCUUUGAUAUUAAAAUUGUGAAAUUGUAAGUUUAUAAGUAUUCGAAUAUGAAAUGAUAGUAUGGCUUGAAAUUGAAUUAUUCAUUGGAAAAUGAUAGAUGUAGAUUCAGCCAAGACAAAGUGUAUACAUGAAAGUUUAUGUGGUAUAUGAAGUAUAUUUGGAUAAUUGUGAUGUGAAUAUAUGAAAAUUUAUAUUUUGAUUCAGAAUUUUAUGUGAUGAAUGUGAAUGUGUAUAUAUGAGAUAAGGCCGAAUGGCCAAUGUGAUGAACGUGAAAGUAUAUAUAUAUUGUGGCCAAAUGACAAACUAUGGAAGGUGUGUUUUAUUAGAUAUUUGAUGAGGUAAAUGAAUUAAAAAUAUGAUAGUCGAUGUGAAUGCUGUAACAUGUGAAUAAAUAUGCAUGAAACUUUGUGAUGUAAAUCCGGGAUUUAAGACCCGAUGACUAUAUGUGGUGACUAUGUCCGGGUUAAGACCUGCUGACUUCGUCUGGAGAUUUCAUCUGAGCUAAAGGUCUCACCGAUAAUCCGAGUAGAGUUUAAAGCUAUAAGACUUCGCAAUAGGAAUUGCUUAUAAAUAUAUUCAAUGCGAAAGGUUAAACAGGUAUGUACUCCGAGUUUAUAUGUGAGCUUGAUUUGAACUAAAUAAUAAGGUAGUUAUGUGAUGCAUACGUGAGCAAUCUAUGAGACUAUUCCUAUGAUUAUGUGGCAUCGAAUCAGUGUGAAAGGUUAUGUGAAAUUAUACAAUAUAUCUAUGUUACAUGAACUCACUUUUAUGUGAAAGUUUAUCUGCCUAUUGUAUAUGAUGAGAUG
rnacentral:lncRNA from 1 species